CUGGAGUCGGAUGUAGUCCAAUUUAUUGUCCAGGGAGCGGACAUUGGAGAGCAGAAUGGGUGGGAGACUCACUACGCCCUGCCUCUGUUUACAUCCUCAAAACAGAAGAAAAAACCCCAAAGAAUGAAUGACAGAAAAAAAACAUAAGAACUCCAAAGCCUCCUGCCCCCUGCCAUCAACAGGCAGCAGCAAGCCUCCUCUACAUUAUUGAGACCAAUAGUAAAUAGGGGUCCACUUCCUCGAGCACCUCUACUCCAUCUGCCAAAAGAAGAACUUCCUGGUUUCCAAAAAUUGAGAUUCUGAUUCUUAUUCCCAUUCUAAAAUGUUUGUCCAUGGCCUCCUCUUGUGCCACGAUGAGGCCACUCUCAGGGUGGAGGAGCAGCACCUUAUACUCCAUCUGCCUAGUCUCCAACCUGAAUAUCAAUUACUCCUUCUGGUAAAAUAAACUUCCCUCCCCCUCCCUCUUCUUCUAUUCCUCGCUCUGGCCUCUUACCUCUUCUCACCUGAUUAUCACCUCCCCCGGGUCCCCUCCUCCUUUCCUUUUUCCUAUGGCCCACUCUCCUCUCCUAUCAGAUUGCUUCUUCUCCAGCCCUUAAUCUUUCCUACCCACUAUGGCUCAUCUAUCACCUUCUAGCUAUCCUCCUUUCCUUCUGCCACUUUUUUAUUCUGGCCUUUUCCCCCUUUAUUCCCCCUGAAGACUGCACACCCAGAGGCUGCCUUCAUUGUUGCCGGUGACCUUAAUCGAGCGUUGUUGGCGAAAGUCUCUCUGAAGUUAUGUCAGCACAUCCAGGUGAGCACUCGGGGAGUUAACACACUUGACUACUGCUACACUCCCUUCCAAAUGCUUAUGAAGCUCUCCAUCGACCAGCUUUUGGAAAAACAGAUCACUCUUCGAUCCUGUUUCUGCCGACGUACAAGCAGAGGCUGAAACAUGAGGCGGCCAUAGUUAAAGCCGUCCACUGUUGGUCCAACAAAUCAACCUCCAUGCUGUAGGACUGCUUCAAUGACAUCGACUGGAAUGUCGUCCAUGAUGAGGAUGUCUCCAAGUUCACUGAUGGAGUCACGUGCUUCAUCUGGAAUUGCAUCAACGAUGUUGUCCGCCCUGAAGUCUGUCAGGGUCUUCCGAAACCAGAAACCCUGGAUUGAUAGUUACGUGUGAGCAGCAUUUACUGCGCGACAUAGAGCUUAGAUCAUUGGCGAUCAAUGAGAACUCAAGAAAACCAGCUAUGAUCUGCGCAAAGCUAUCAAGGCUGCAAAACAACGAUACAGGGACAAGACUGAGUCAAGAUUCACAACGAAUAGCACAUGUGACUUGUGGCGAGGGCUGCAUACUGUCGCAGAAUUCAAAGCCAAACGUUGUGGUGCUGCCAAUAUUGCAGCCUGUCUCCCAGAUGAGAUCAAUCACUUUCAUACUCGGUUCGAUGUUGCUAGCUUUGAGCCUCCGAGGAAAGCCACUGCUACAACCUGCAACCUGGUCAUCUCUGAGGCUGAGGUACGCAGAUGUUUCCAACGAGUGGACGGCAUCUCAGGGUGGCCUAUAACAAAAUGAUGGGAGAUGACACUUCUGUGGAUCACCAUUUCUUCUCCAAACCUCAGCGGUCUGACCAUAUUGGAGGCCGAAGAGUGAGGCUAUUACAUUGAAGACAAAGUUGACAGAAUUUCGACCCACCCAAAAAGUCCUCAGGCCUUCAUUCCACUGUUAUGUAGUCAAGGAAGCACACCAGCAAAACUACCACUCCAUGUAUAACCUGUGCAAUGCCUCCACUAAGCUUCAGUGCAUCGCCAUGCAAAUCAGAAUGCGCCAAUCAGCAUCGUUUGCAUGCGCCAUCUCCUCAGGCUGGUGGGCCAAAGAGAUUUGGACAGGACUAAGUGCUCCUUACACCGAAAUAAGAAGAAGAGAGAAAUCUGGACGUGUGAGAGGUAAUGAGCGGCCACAAACUUAUCAAUCACCCCUGCUGUGGACCACUUCUGGAGGUCCAGGACGCCGACUUCUACAAAGAAGGAAUCUGUAUGCUCCAUGACUGCUGGACUAAGUGUGUAAAUGUAGGAAAAAUAAAUGUGCCAGGUUUUCUAAAAUUGACUCCUUCUACCUUAGGCCACGGACUUAUCAAUCACCCCUUGUAUGUCUACAUAAUUAACUCGAGGUCUGACUUUUUUAAAACUUUCGGGGAUAAAGUAUGAAAAAUAAUGGCCCUCAAUUCAUAAUGCGAAAUUGAAUUUCUCAGCAACAGUAUUCAUAACUAAUUUUACAUGUUGUGGAAUAUAGAAAGUCUGAGAGAAGUUUAAAAUUGAUUUUUGAUAUUCCAUGUUACAAACCCAUUUGAUAAGGUGGAUUAGGGUGGACUUGAGAGAUACAUAGUAUACUAGAUUACAUGGUUGAUAAAUUGGAGGUUAGAAGGUUUUUCUUUCUUGCGGAGAAGCAGUGUAGUAAGUUGAAUCACGGGUUGUGUGAUUUGCCAGAACACACGACUGUUUGAAAGAGGGAGGCUGGUAUUGUGAAACAUAUUAUGCUAUGGCUGUUCUCCUGGAAUUUGUGUGAUCAUCAGUGUUUUUUUUCCAGAUUAGCUUUGGUGUUUCUUUGAGGCGUGAAUUGGAAUGGGGUGCAGGGUGUGAGGGCUGAUGGUGGAGUAAGGCGUGGGCAAUUUAGUGCAUUGGCAACGGAUUCCUAUCAGUGAUGUUCUCCAGCAUUUACACAUCAAUAGCUACAGCAUAUUUUUAGCCAUAAUGCUGAGAUCAUUGCAAAGUUCUUUUGCAAUUAAAUAACAUUACAACCACAAUUUCAAUAAAUGAACAUUUGGUACUUCUUGGGAUAUCUUCUUUUACUUAAUGUUUUUCAAACAUUGGCUGCAGUCCUGCAAAAGACUUUGGCUAAAAUAAAACAGUCCUUUGUUAUCUUAAGAGUGUUGUUAAAAUAUCCAACUAUAGCAACCAGAGUCUGGGAAUCAUUCCUCAU